rnacentral:misc_RNA from 1 species
UUAAGUUCAGCGGGUAGUCCUACCUGAUUUGAGGUCAGAUUUCAAAAUACAUUGACCGCCACUCCAGAGGCAAGGUCGUGGGAGGACGACGAAGGAGGGUACUCAGUCGAGCGAGGAUGGUACAACGCCCAGUCGAGUCCGACCCGCAGGUCCAACCGAUGCAUUUGAGGGGAGCCGCCUCACGGCAGCAUGCCCCCAAC